GAUGAACGCUGGCGGCGUGCUUAACACAUGCAAGUCGAACGAACGGAGGAGAGCUUGCUCUCCAAAGUUAGUGGCGGACGGGUGAGUAACGCGUGGGUAACCUGCCUCAUGCAGGGGGAUAACAUCUGGAAACGGAUGCUAAUACCGCAUAAACUAUGGAUGACCGCAUGGUCAUUAUAGCAAAGAUUUAUCGGCAUGAGAUGGACCCGCGUUGGAUUAGCUAGUUGGUGAGAUAACAGCCCACAAGGCGACGAUCCAUAGCCGGCCUGAGAGGGUGAACGGCCACAUUGGGACUGAGACACGGCCCAAACUCCUACGGGAGGCAGCAGUGGGGAAUAUGCACAAUGGGCGAAAGCCUGAUGCAGCAACGCCGCGUGAAGGA
rnacentral:rRNA from 1 species